UGAGGAAUAUUGCGCAAUGGGGGAAACCCUGACGCAGCGACGCCGCGUGGAUGAUGAAGGCCUUGGUCGUAAAAUCCUGUCAGAUGGAAAGAAAUGUAUAAUGGUUAAUACCCAUUAUAUU
rnacentral:rRNA from 1 species